GCCAGGUGUGGUAGUCCACACCUGGAGUCGCAGCUACUUGGGAGGCUGAGGCCAGAAGCAUAGCUUGGGUUCCUGAGUUCCGGGCUGUAGUGUGAUAUGCCAGUUGGGUGUCCAGGUUAAGUUCAGUAUCACUAUGGGGACCUCCCAGGAACAGUUAACCAUGAGGUUCACUAAGGAGGGGUGAACCAUCUCAUGUUGGAAAUGGAGCAGGUCAGAACUCCUCUGCUGAUCAGCGGUAGAUCACAUGUGUGAACAGUCAGUGCACUCCAGCCUGGGCAACACACAAAGACCCCUUUCUCU
ensembl:misc_RNA Metazoa_SRP Metazoan signal recognition particle RNA